ensembl:misc_RNA
CCAGCAAUUCUGGAGAGCAAAUACUCUAUCUAGGUACAGCACAAGUGAGUGAGAGCCAACUUCCUGUACACUCUCCUGCCAAGAAAUCUUCAUGCUGAUCUGAAGAAAGAAACCCCUAGGCAUGACAGGACAGUUUGGUCUCCACAGUCCAUCUAGUCCUCAGUUUUU